CGGGCACUGCGCGUGCGCAGCGCGGGGCUCUCGCGAGAGCUCGGUGGUAAACAGCGCCCAAGAUGGCGGCGGGCCGGGCGGCGGCGGCGGAGCGGUUGGCUUGCAAUCAGCUUUGCUAAUUCUAGGGAGUUAACUUUGCCAUCAGAAAUGGAAUACAGGACUCAGCUACCACAUCCUGAGUGACCAAAUCGUUUAAUACAAAAUGGAGAAGAAGCGUAGAAAGAAAUGAGCCUGUUUGUUAGGCUUGACCUGGAAAGACCAUGAAAUCUCCACUUAUUCUGGACCCAGCUUUAAGAAUAUCCAGUUGAUCAGCACAGCGAAAGCAACGUUUACUGAAACAAAAAUGAACUAGUUUAUAAAGAAGAAAAUUGUGAUUUGAAUAUAUGGAAUUUUUGGAAUGAAACCAUUUUCUUCCAUGACCAUGAAGUUUGCAAACAUCUGGUUUGUUCUGGUUGUUCUUUUACUCUGUGGCAAAAAACACUUUGGUACCAGACUAGGGAAUUCCUCUCAGGAGGCUCACAUUUGUCCUGGAUGUUCUCGCCUUACUCUGAAAGUGGAGUUCACCUCGACAGUCGUGGAGCAUGAGUAUAUUGUGGCUUUUAAUGGAUACUUCACAGCUAAAGCCAGAAGCAAAUUUAUUUCGAGCGCGCUGAAAAGUAGUGAUAUUGAGAACUGGAGGAUUGUACCUCGCAACAACCCAGCCAGUGACUACCCCAGCGAUUUUGAAGUCAUUCAGAUCCAUGAGAAGCAGAAGGAUGGGGUGCUCACACUGGAAGACCACCCGAACAUCAAGCGUGUGACACCUCAGCGAAAGGUCUUCCGCUCGCUCAAGUAUUUGGAGUCUGAUCCAAUGCUGCACUGCAAUGAAACCAGAUGGACUCAGAAGUGGCAGUCAUCCCGCCCCUUGAGGAGAGCAAGCCUCUCCUUGGGUUCUGGCUUCUGGCAUGCGACAGGGAGACACUCCAGCAGGCGCCUGCUGAGGGCUAUCCCUCGCCAGGUUGCUCAGACCCUGCAGGCAGAUGUCCUCUGGCAGAUGGGUUACACAGGUGCUGGUGUGAGAGUAGCAGUGUUUGACACUGGCCUGAGUGAGAAACAUCCACAUUUCAAAAAUGUAAAGGAGAGGACAAACUGGACUAAUGAGAGAACCUUGGAUGACGGUUUAGGCCAUGGGACUUUUGUGGCAGGUGUGAUAGCCAGCAUGAGAGAAUGCCAGGGAUUUGCUCCAAAUGCAGAACUGCACAUUUUUAGAGUGUUCACCAAUAAUCAGGUCUCAUAUACGUCUUGGUUUCUGGAUGCCUUUAAUUAUGCAAUUUUAAAGAAGAUAGAUGUGUUGAAUCUAAGUAUUGGUGGGCCAGACUUCAUGGAUCAUCCAUUUGUUGACAAAGUUUGGGAACUGACUGCUAACAAUGUCAUCAUGGUCUCUGCUAUUGGCAAUGAUGGCCCUUUAUAUGGGACUCUCAAUAAUCCUGCUGACCAGAUGGAUGUGAUUGGAGUCGGUGGCAUUGACUUUGAAGACAAUAUAGCUCGUUUUUCAUCUCGGGGAAUGACCACUUGGGAGCUGCCUGGAGGUUACGGGAGAGUGAAGCCUGACAUUGUCACCUAUGGCUCUGGGGUGAGAGGCUCUGGCAUGAAGGGUGGCUGCCGCUCCCUCUCUGGGACCAGUGUGGCAUCUCCCGUGGUGGCAGGGGCUGUUACUCUGUUAGUGAGCACAGUGCAGAGGCGUGAGCUGGUGAACCCAGCGAGCAUGAAGCAGGCGCUCAUUGCGUCAGCACGGAGGCUGCCUGGAGUCAACAUGUUUGAACAAGGACAUGGCAAAUUGGAUCUUCUGAGAGCUUAUCAGAUCCUCAACAGCUAUAAACCACAGGCCAGUUUGAGUCCAAGCUAUAUUGACUUGACUGAAUGCCCCUACAUGUGGCCCUAUUGUUCUCAGCCCAUCUAUUAUGGAGGGAUGCCAACUAUUGUUAAUGUUACAAUCCUCAAUGGUAUGGGAGUCACUGGGAGAAUCGUAGACAAGCCAGACUGGCAGCCCUACCUGCCCCAGAACGGGGAUAACAUUGAGGUGGCUUUCUCCUACUCCCCUGUGCUGUGGCCCUGGUCUGGGUACUUGGCAAUUUCCAUCUCUGUGGCAAAGAAAGCAGCAUCUUGGGAAGGCAUUGCUCAGGGCCAUGUUAUGAUCACAGUGUCAUCCCCUGCAGAAAAUGAAUCCAAGAACAGUGCAGAGCAGACCUCAACAGUGAAGCUGCCAAUAAAGGUGAAGAUCAUUCCCACCCCCCCUCGCAGCAAGAGAGUCCUGUGGGAUCAGUACCACAACCUGCGCUACCCCCCAGGAUACUUCCCCAGGGACAACUUGAGGAUGAAGAAUGAUCCCUUAGACUGGAAUGGUGACCAUAUCCACACAAACUUCAGGGACAUGUACCAGCACCUGAGGAGCAUGGGCUACUUUGUGGAGGUUCUUGGUUCCCCGUUUACAUGUUUUGAUGCCAGUCAGUAUGGGACUUUGCUGAUGGUGGACAGUGAGGAAGAGUAUUUUCCUGAAGAGAUCACCAAGCUGAGGAGGGACGUUGAUAAUGGACUUUCACUGAUAGUCUUUAGUGACUGGUACAACACAUCUGUGAUGAGAAAAGUCAAGUUUUACGACGAAAACACAAGGCAGUGGUGGAUGCCUGAUACUGGAGGUGCUAAUAUCCCAGCUCUCAAUGAUCUGCUUUCUGUCUGGAACAUGGCCUUUAGUGAUGGGCUGUAUGAAGGAGAUUUUACCAUGGCAAGUCAUGAAAUGAAUUAUGCAUCAGGGUGCAGUAUUGCAAAGUUUCCAGAAGAUGGCAUUGUCAUUGCACAGACUUUUAAGGAUCAAGGUCUUGAAGUUUUAAAACAGGAGACUGCUGUCAUUGAAAAUGUCCCUAUCCUGGGGCUUUACCAAGUUCCCUCCGAAGGCGGUGGCAGGAUUGUCCUGUACGGAGACUCCAACUGCCUGGAUGACAGCCAUCGACAGAAAGAUUGCUUCUGGCUGCUGGAUUCCCUCCUGCAGUACACGUCCUACGGGGUGAUGCCACCCAGCCUCAGCCAUUCCGAGAACAGGCAGCGCCCGCCGUCGGGAGCAGGACACUCCCUCCCUGAGAGGAUGGAAGGUAACCAUUUGCAUCGAUACUCAAAGGUGCUCGAGGCUCACUUGGGAGACCCUAAACCCCGGUCCCUUCCUGCUUGUCCUCACCUGUCCUGGGCCAAGCCACAGCCUUUGAAUGAAACUGCCCCCAGCAACCUCUGGAAACAUCAAAAAUUACUGUCAAUUGACUUGGAUAAAGUGGCACUGCCCAGUUUUCGACAGAACCGACCCCAAGUGAGACCAUUGUCCCCUGGAGAAAGUGGAGCAUGGGACAUUCCUGGAGCAAAGCUGUGAGGUUUUCCCUGCCAACUGCUGCUAUCACUGCUCCACAUGAGCACCUUUUCCCAGGAGGAGCCAGGAGCUGGUGUCUGCUUCUGUUGGUCAACAGAAUUGCAACCUGGGCAGGGCUUACGAUCCUGGAUGGUGGUGCUGGGCCUUGGAAAGGGCACUGCAGGAGAGAGCAUUCCUCCAUGUAAGCUGGGACAAGCCUUUCAAGGGGUGGCUGUGGAUAGGGUUUGCCAGUGCAUGAGUAUCCUGCAAAAAGGAUUUGGAAAAACCCAUUUUCCCUAGCCUGGAGAGUGGUAGGUUUUUCCAGCAUGUCUCUUCUGAAGAUGAGGAUGCACUCGGUGCAGGAAGAGUCAGAGUCCUGUUGCUAUGCCAGAGAAGGCACUGAGCUUUUGCAUUGGAACCAUUAGUUAGAAGCUCAUUGGGGCUGAGGAGAUGGUCCCAAGGUUGGGCUGCUUGUGCCAUCCCAAUGGGAUUGGAGCCCGUUGCUCCUCUAUCUUCAAACAUGGCCCUAUGAUGGCAAGGGAGAGGUUUUCACCAUCACACCUGUGGCAUUGGGGUCUCUCAUAGGGCCAACCAGCAGCAGCUCUGCAAGUCAUCCUGGUUACAAAAGAUCUCUCAGUAAAGGUGUGAAAUCUCAAGGGCCAGACCUCAGAAAGGGUUGCAGGUAGCAAAGUGUAAUUGUGGCUGGUGUUUUUAUUUGUCCAAAACGAGGACUGUCCAUUUGCGUUUCUGUACCUUUGACAGUCUUCAAAGACAAUAAUGUGCAAAACACAUCAACAGCCCCUUUUCCACCUGCCAAGAGGACACAGCAGCAGGUAAAGCUGCCAACCCACAGGGACCCUUGGGUUACAGCUUGCAGCUCAGGGACUGGAGCACCUAGAUAAAUGGGAGAAAGAGGGGAAAAUAUAAGCGAGGGAGCCCAGAGCCACUGAACAGAGAAGCCGCCUGGAGCUGCUGUGCCAUCGGGGGAGAGGAGCUGCAUCCCUUUGGUCUGAGGUCCUCUGAUCCAUCAGGGGGAGCCUGGAAAGCUGUCACUGCUCAGGUCAGUGCUAAUGAGGAGUCUUGCUCCUCUCAUUGCAGCACUAAUGAGAGAUUAGAGCCCCACUGCAGCCGUGAAACCAGAGUCAAGCUGUAUCAAAGCCCCAGUCCGAAUUAAGAGCCUUUCCCAGUGGCUGGUAUUUUACAGCCCAGUGGCCAAUUUCUAAGUCGUAAAGGCCAAUUAUUUCCGAAGCCUUUGGUGUGCAGCUAAUGAAGGCCUGGAAGGGCCCUUCUAAGUGGUUAUAAGCCCCGUAGGUGGCAGAGAUGUAAUGGAGGUGGCAGGCACAAUUAGCCAUCCAUAAUUCCGCCGAGCAGCUGAUUAAAGUCUCUUUAUCCGUCUUACCGAGAUCAGAAGGGCACAUAUUUGGGAAAUCAAAAAUGUAUUAGAGGCUGUCAGCCAGGGUCUGUGUGCUGAGCCCGGGGCAGUGGCAG